AUGAGCUGUUCUCAACUCCCAAAGAAAACGUGCCGGAAAGUGACUUCGAUCUCUUCAAAGUUCUGGUGGAAUUCAACAAGUGGUGAUAGAAAGGUUCACUGUAUUGCUUGGGAUAAGAUGUGCACCACAAAAUGUGAAGGUUGUAUGGGCUUCCGCAACUAUCAAGUUUUUAACCAAGCCUUGCUUGCCAAACAAGCUUGGAGGAUUCUGUGGAACCCCUCAUCCUUGUGUGCACGUGUGUUGAAAGCACGAUAUUUUAAAGAUGGGUCCAUUAUGAAUGCAACAUGCCCAAGCAAUGUCUCCUUUACUUUCAAGAGUAUUAUUCAUGGGAGAGAUUUGCUUCGAGAAGGAACCAUCCAGAGGAUAGGUGACGGAAGUAGAAUAAAUAUUCAUCAUGACUCCUGGAUCCCAAGAAUGGGUAGUCUCAAGCCAUUGGGCGAGGUAUAUGUACCUGGUAUUACCAAAGUGAGUGAUUUGUUAAACUCACAUGGCACCAAUUGGGACAGAGCAAAGGUGUCAUAG
rnacentral:rRNA from 1 species